rfam:Dipodomys ordii contig_65611, whole genome shotgun sequence.
UGGCUCAGUGGUAGAGUACUUGCCUCACAUGCAUGAGGCCCUGGGUUCAAUUCCUCAG